AGAGAAGUUUCCAGGCCACAGAGAUGCAAGCGUUUCUCUUCAGCGCAAAGCGAAUAGCAGCAGAAAAGAAAACAAUUAUUAGAAGACGGGACCUUUGCUCUAUCUGGGGGAAGGUAAGCUCCCAAACAAAACCUUUUUAAAAAUCCGACUUUCUGAAUGCUCUCUUCUCCAUUCCCAGCUUCUGCCACGUCCCGGGUCCCAGAGUGUGCCUGCUCAGAUCCCAGAAAACUUGCAGGAACAGGAAGAGGUCACACAGUGUUAAGGGGAAGGGAGAACAGGAACGGCGGGUUUCUUACCGCGGUCAAGACCCUGAAGUCAUCUCGGCUCAUGUAACGCAACUUGGCCACAUUCACUUUCCCCAUGGCGGCCCCAGUCCGAACCCAGAUGCCUCUCCGACGACAGCCGCAAAGCGUAAGGCAGCAACAGAAGCUGCUGAUUUCCAUCUGAACUCAUGACGCCUGAGCCAGAGAUGAUGUUUUCCAGCCUUGUUAGAGAUAUAUGUAGUUACAUGUCUAAGUUUUUAUCUGUAUAUAGGAUGGGAGUAGAAAUUAGAAAUGCAGAUUCUGGGUCUUGCUUUAAAACAAUGGAUAUGUGGAUCCUUCUGUUUCAUUUCAAGGCUGGACCUUGACCAUUGUAGUGAAUCAGCUUCACUCAUGCAGGUAAGGGAAAUACUCUCAGGGAAUGUCUGAAAAACAAGAUGGAAGGACCCUAGUUCCCAGGUAUCCCACAGAGCCAGCUACUUUACCAUUUUGCUCCACCUACCUGC
rnacentral:lncRNA from 1 species